rnacentral:rRNA from 1 species
GGCGAGUGAAGCGGCACAGCUCAAAUUUGAAAUCUGGCCCAUUCAGGGUCCGAGUUGUAAUUUGCAGAGGAUGCUUCGGGUACGACGCCGGUCUAAGUUCCUUGGAACAGGACGUCACAGAGGGUGAGAAUCCCGUACGUGACCGGCCGCCACGCCCGUGUGAAGCUCCUUCGACGAGUCGAGUUGUUUGGGAAUGCAGCUCAAAAUGGGUGGUAAAUUUCAUCUAAAGCUAAAUAUUGGCCAGAGACCGAUAGCGCACAAGUAGAGUGAUCGAAAGAUGAAAAGCACUUUGGAAAGAGAGUCAAACAGUACGUGAAAUUGUUGAAAGGGAAGCGCUUGCAACCAGACUUGCCCGCGGGCGAUCAACCGGUAUUUUUACCGGUGCACUCGCCCGUGGUCAGGCCAGCAUCGGUUUGGGCGGCCGGACAAAGCCCCCUGGAAUGUAGCUCCUCUCGGGGAGUGUUAUAGCCAUGGUGGAAUGCGGCCCGCCCGGACCGAGGACCGCGCUUCGGCUAGGAUGCUGGCGUAAUGGUUGUAAGCGACCCGUCUUGAAACACGGACCAAGGAGUCUAACAUCUAUGCGAGUGUUUGGGUGUCAAACCCAUGCGCGUAAUGAAAGUGAACGGAGGUGGGAACCCCUAAGGGUGCACCAUCGACCGAUCCUGAUGUCUUCGGAUGGAUUUGAGUAAAAGCAUAGCUGUUGGGACCCGAAAGAUGGUGAACUAUGCCUGAAUAGGGUGAAGCCAGAGGAAACUCUGGUGGAGGCUCGCAGCGGUUCUGACGUGCAAAUCGAUCGUCAAAUUUGGGGUAUAGGGGCGAAAGACUAAUCGAACCAUUGUCGACGUUUCCACGGCUAGGUGGUUAAUUGGGACACAUGGCUGUUCUCAGUCCCUCGAACAAGGGGCAACAUCGCUACUUGCAUGGACAUUUCAACACGAAACCAACAUGCUGCAGCUCCUAAGCUGUGCACAGAUCAGACAGCGGUGGCCGAAAUACCUUUUACAUUGAA